UACGGAGGGUGCAAGCGUUAUCCGGAUUCACUGGAUUUAAAGGGUGUGUAGGCGGAUAUUUAAGUCAGUGGUGAAAUCUCCAGGCUCAACCUGGAAACUGCCAUUGAUACUAUUUAUCUUGAAUUCUGUUGAGGUGGGCGGAAUACAUCAUGUAGCGGUGAAAUGCUUAGAUAUGAUGUAGAACACCGAUUGCGAAGGCAGCUCACUAAGCAGACAUUGACGCUGAGGCACGAAAGCGUGGGGAUCAAACAGG
rnacentral:rRNA from 1 species